AGGUUUGAUCAUGGCUCAGGAUGAACGCUGGCGGCGUGCCUAAUACAUGCAAGUCGAACGAGGUGCUUUUGUAGCAAUACGAGAGUAUCCUAGUGGCGAACGGGUGAGUAACGCGUUGGUGACCUACCCCAAAGUGUGGGAUAACAGUCCGAAAGGAUUGCUAAUACCGCAUGUGGUCAUUGGAUCUAGAAACUGAUGACUAAAGGAGCAAUUCGCUUUGGGAGGGACCUGCGUCCCAUCAGCUAGUUGGUGAGGUAAUGGCUCACCAAGGCGACGACGGGUAGGGGACCUGAGAGGGUGGCCCCCCACAAUGGAACUGAAACACGGUCCAUACACCUACGGGUGGCAGCAGUAGGGAAUAUUGCACAAUGGGCGAAAGCCUGAUGCAGCAACGCCGCGUGUGUGAUGAAGGCCUUCGGGUCGUAAAGCACUUUUCUGGGAGAUGAGAAAGGACAGUAUCCCAGGAAUAAGUCUCGGCUAACUACGUGCCAGCCGCCGCGGUAAUA
rnacentral:rRNA from 1 species